rnacentral:rRNA from 1 species
GCAUCGAUGAAGAACGCAGCAAAAUGCGAUAAGUAAUGUGAAUUGCAGAAUUCAGUGAAUCAUCGAAUCUUUGAACGCACAUUGCGCCCGCCAGUAUUCUGGCGGGCAUGCCUGUUCGAGCGUCAUUUCAACCCUCAAGCCCAGCUUGGCGUUGGGAGCUGCAGUCCUGCUGCACUCCCCAAAUACAUUGGCGGUCACGUCGAGCUUCCAUAGCGUAGUAGUUUACAUAUCGUUACUGGUAAUCGUCGCGGGCACGCCCGUUAAACCCCAACUUCUGAAUUGUUGACCUCGGAUCAGGUAGGAAUACCCGCUGAACUUUAAGCAUAUCAAUAAGCGGAGGA